CCCCUAGAUGUUCUGGGCCGCACGCGCGCUACACUGAACAGUUCAACAAGUCUUAACCUUGGCCGAUAGGUCUGGGUAAUCUUUGAACGCUGUUCGUGAUUGGGAUAGACCUUUGCAAUUAUGGGUCUUCAACGAGGAAUUCCUAGUAAACGCAAGUCAUCAGCUUGCAGUGAUUACGUCCCUGCCCUUUGUACACACCGCCCGUCGCACCUACCGAUUGAAUGGUCCGGUGAAAUCUCGGGACGGCGGCUUGGUCGCUUGCGUCCGACUGCUGAAACUUGAUUAAACCAUAUCAUUUAGAGGAAGGUGAAGUCGUAACA
rnacentral:rRNA from 1 species